rnacentral:rRNA from 1 species
UACGUAGGGGGCAAGCGUUGUCCGGAUUUAUUGGGCGUAAAGAGCUCGUAGGUGGUUUGGUAAGUCGGAUGUGAAAUCUCCAGGCUCAACCUGGAGGGGUCAUUCGAUACUGCCAUGACUAGAGGUCGGUAGGGGAGUGUGGAAUCCCUGGUGGAGCGGUGAAAUGCGCAGAUAUCAGGAGGAACACCCGUAGCGAAGGCGGCACUCUGGGCCGAUUCUGACACUGAGGAGCGAAAGCGUGGGGAGCGAACAGG